rnacentral:rRNA from 1 species
CUUCGAUGGAUAGGGGUUCUGAGAGGAAGGUCCCCCACAUUGGAACUGAGACACGGUCCAAACUCCUACGGGAGGCAGCAGUGAGGAAUAUUGGUCAAUGGACGAGAGUCUGAACCAGCCAAGUAGCGUGAAGGAUGACUGCCCUAUGGGUUGUAAACUUCUUUUAUACGGGAAUAAAGUGAGGCACGUGUGCCUUUUUGUAUGUACCGUAUGAAUAAGGAUCGGCUAACUCCGUGCCAGCAGCCGCGGUAAUACGGAGGAUCCGAGCGUUAUCCGGAUUUAUUGGGUUUAAAGGGAGCGUAGGCGGACGCUUAAGUCAGUUGUGAAAGUUUGCGGCUCAACCGUAAAAUUGCAGUUGAUACUGGGUGUCUUGAGUACAGUAGAGGCAGGCGGAAUUCGUGGUGUAGCGGUGAAAUGCUUAGAUAUCACGAAGAACUCCGAUUGCGAAGGCAGCUUGCUGGACUGUAACUGACGCUGAUGCUCGAAAGUGUGGGUAUCAAACAGGAUUAGAUACCCUGGUAGUCCACACGGUAAACGAUGAAUACUCGCUGUUUGCGAUAUACAGUAAGCGGCCAAGCGAAAGCGUUAAGUAUUCCACCUGGGGAGUACGCCGGCAACGGUGAAACUCAAAGGAAUUGACGGGGGCCCGCACAAGCGGAGGAACAUGUGGUUUAAUUCGAUGAUACGCGAGGAACCUUACCCGGGCUUGAAUUGCAACUGAAUGAUGUGGAGACAUGUCAGCCGCAAGGCAGUUGUGAAGGUGCUGCAUGGUUGUCGUCAGCUCGUGCCGUGAGGUGUCGGCUUAAGUGCCAUAACGAGCGCAACCCUUAUCGAUAGUUACCAUCAGGUUAUGCUGGGGACUCUGUCGAGACUGCCGUCGUAAGAUGUGAGGAAGGUGGGGAUGACGUCAAAUCAGCACGGCCCUUACGUCCGGGGCUACACACGUGUUACAAUGGGGGGUACAGAAGGCAGCUACACGGCGACGUGAUGCUAAUCCCUAAAGCCUCUCUCAGUUCGGAUUGGAGUCUGCAACCCGACUCCAUGAAGCUGGAUUCGCUAGUAAUCGCGCAUCAGCCACGGCGCGGUGAAUACGUUCCCGGGCCUUGUACACACCGCCCGUCAAGCCAUGGGAGCCGGGGGUACCUGAAGUGCGUAACCGCAAGGAGCGCCCUAGGGUAAAACUGGUGAUUGGGGCUAAGUCGUAACAAGGUAGCCGUACCGGAAGGUGCGGCUG